CUCUUCAGCUCUCUUCACAUAAAAAUAAAUAGUAAAUACAUAUUGAUGGAACAAUAAAUUAAAGCAAUGAGAAAUUAAGUGCAAUCCAUCUCUUUAUUGUAGAUUACUUUAUUUUGGAACCUAAGCCCAUUUGUUGGUUGACAUUCUACUUUCUACCGGAUGAAAACACUGGGAUGCUUUGCUCAUUCCUAAAGAAGUUGCCGGGAUCAACCAAGGUCUUAACAUGAACAAGUUUCCUGAAGUUGUUCUUGAAGUACUUCAAACCCCAAAUGCUUGCUUGUGCAUAGCUUGUAUUGCCAUUAUUGUUCCUCCCCAAAUCAAGAUCCCUAUAAUUCAGAUAGGCAGCUCUAGGAGACUUUGAAACAUACGGUGCCAUGUAUGCAUACAACCUUCUCAUAAAUCCAAUAUACUUNNNNNNNNNNNNNNNNNNNNAUAGGCCCUCGUAAUCGUGCCCCCCGCUUCGGCUUCUUAUUUGUAGGCCAUUUUUCUCGGAGCAAAUUACAGCUGCUUGAACAUGAGAUUCAUCAAAAGGAGUUAUGAUGGCCUCUGGUUUUGGUGUGGAAUUGUUCGAGAAUCUGAGGUUCUGUAUGGAAGAAUCUAACACUGAAGGAUAAGCUGAACUGGUUCUGGUGAGAAUGAUUUCAUUACUGGAGUUAGAGUUCUGAAUGUGGGAGGAAAGGCAUUGCACAAAGCUUUCAGAAAUGGAGCUUGAAGCUAUGGACCAAGCUGAGUUGAGAAGGAUGAAAAGUAGGGGAAAUAGCUUUGCAUGAGAGGUCUCCAUAUUCAUUUCCUCAGCAUAAAAGAUGUGAAAUGCUCUGAGCUUUACUAACAUACAUAUAUGUGUGUAAGUCGUCUGUUGAUGUGAAACCGUAGGUUCCGCUUUCUAGCACUUUUUUAGUAUUAGUGGGGUAAGUCAUCUAUUGUUGUUUUGUCCAUUUCUAAAUUGAUAUGAACGAGUCUCCAACAAUAAUUCUGAAAACCUAAAAUUCAAGCAAUGCAGCUCCAAUUAAGCAGAUCGAUAUCUGAAAACCUAUAGUUCAAACAAUGCAGCUCUAAUUAAGCACAUCGAUUUCUGAAAACCUAAUUAGUUAAGCACGCCGAUAUUGCAUGUUUCUACAACCUUGAAAUGUUUUUUUUUUUUUCAUCAAAACUUUGUUGGAUAUAAAUUUCAUAUUGGAAAUAUAUAACUUUCCCUAUGGGGUUAUAAGAGUUUAUGUCACUUCAUCUACUGUCAAUUGGUUUUGAAUAUGAACCUCAUACUACUUCAUCACAAUAUUAGAGCAGAUUACGCACGUCUAUGUGUGAAUGCGUAACGGCCACACAGACUUCACGUCCACGUGUGCGGAGGCGUGUUAAGAUACAAAUCCUAUAUUAGAAAUAUGAGACCUUGUUUACGGGUUACUACUUUAUCAAACUUGUGGAACUAUGAUCGACACACGAUUUUUUUGGCAAAAAUAUCACACUCCACCCAUAAUCACGAUAAUUUCAUCAUAUAAGAACACUAGCUAGUGCAAUUUUAGAGGUGUGUCAUGUAAUUAGGGCCACCAGUUUGAGUGACACACAUUCGAAUAAUACUGAGUGGAUGGUUAAUCAUUGGAAACCACAGGUCCAACUGAGAUAUGUAAAUAAGGCAUGCACGCCAAGUUAGAAGAAAUCUAUCUGCAGGGUGGUGUCAUAUUAGCUCGAACACAUAUUUGGAGUAGAGACAACAACUAGUUUCUAGAUUUCUGGUAUAGUUUGGUACUAGUCUUUGUCCUACGCGUUGCUGCGAUUGAUUUUCGUGUUUAGUUAGUACUGGUGAUGAUUAAAAAUAGGAUCAUAUAUCUAGAAAUUACGCACACUAUUUGCUGCAGGUGGGUUUCAGAAUGUACGUAAAAACAUGAACCCUGUAAUGAAAUGGCGUCGCAUUGUUCAAUCUCAUAUUCACUAUGUAUUGCAUAUAUUACUGAAACCAACAAUUUUACUUUUAAAAAAAAUAUGGAAUCAAUAACAAAGCCCUUUCUUAUGUCAUUUUUCGGUGAAACAAUUAUACAUUUCUAUGGUUCAUGAUAUUGGUCCUUGGCUUGGAGUUGAUUGACCGUGCCAAUUGAUUUGGGGAUUCAACACACUUGUCUGGAAGAGCAUACACCCAAUAGUGUUCUUUGCACAAUUGCUCCCAAAUUUGUAAUCUCUGCGUUGCAUAACUUUCUGCUAGUCAAGCUAAUGAUAAACAACAACAACACUACAACAUGAAUGCUAAAAAUAAUAGAGAAGCAUUGCAUGAUUAUCGCAAGACCUAAAUAUUAGAAUUAUGACCACAUGACAUUGAAUAAUACCACACUAAGAGAGAAAAUGGUAAAAUGGUAUGAUCUGUAUAUAAUUACAUAUACAAUAUUAAGAGCAGAAUCAUAUAAGAAUGAAUAAAAAAAAAAUUAUGACCCAUUCUUCUUCAAGUAGACAUCCAUAUCUAUUUGUCUGCCACCAAACAAUGAAUUUUGUUUGUUUGUUUAUUACACCACAAAUAUUAAACAUGACAAAUUUUUCUAUCAUUUUGCUGUUAGUAAUGGUAUGUGAAGGAUUUAGAUUGUAUAUUUAUCUGCAAUAGCUUAAUGUUCUUUUUGCGAAAUUGUUCAAAAACGUUAACUUUAGUACAGAACUGAUAUGUAUGUAGAGAUCAUUACAACCAUGCAUGUUAACUAUUAAAUUGAAUCUCAUAACCUAUAUGCAUUAAAGAUUAAGCUAUGUGUUUGUAUAAAUUUAAAAGUUUCUAAACACAAUAUGCAAAUAAGACUCCAUGUUUAAGCUGAUGGUUUCAAUACCCACAAAUAGAAGAACUGAUUUCAAUACCCAAAAAAAGAAGAAGAAAGAAAUCAAUGUUCAUCAAUUUACAGAUGAAUAAGAACCUUUAUAGGGAGGCUAUAUAUUCUUCUUCUCAUAAUAAAAGCUGAUUUCCCCAGGCUAUGUUAUACUAAAUCCCAAAUCAGCUUAUCACCAAUUGCUUUGAACCAUGAAAUAUAAAGUCUUCCAACUCUGGACGAAGGCGUAAACUUAGAGAAGGAAUCGAUGACACGAUCAUUUCAAAACCACAAAAACAAAAUCAGACUGAGAGCAGAGAGCAUGCAGAAAAAGAAUCAGUAGAAACAAUGGACAAAACUCAAAAAAGAAAAGAACGCGCAACAUGGCCAUACUGUUUGAGCCCAGUGGGUAUUUUUGGUCCAAGACUCAGGGUACGUUUUGGAUAACAUUUGGGCCUUUACCUGUGGCCCUUUUUUUAAUGCGAAGCCCACGAAGGGUGGCGAAGUCUGGCAACACGCGAGUUGGAAUUGUGUAAGGAUUCUGAUACCUCGCGGGAUUCGAUGUCCUCGCGGGAUCCUUUGUUCUAGUUCGUGUAGGAUUCUACAGUGCAUGGCGAGGUAGAGUUGGAAAUGGACUGUAGUACCCGCGGGAUAGGAUCGCUUAGUGCUCGAGUUCGCGUACGACGCUACAGUGAUAUGAUGCGGGGCGGUGAGCGAGACCUAGGCGAAGUCUGUUUUGGACACGUGUUGCAUGGAUCGCGCGGCUCGCGAGCUGGUCGUUUCCUGGUGGAAUUCUAAUUGCUGAGUCCGAAUGGAUUUGUGAUUAGGUCUCUGCGAAUUGUUUGCGGAUCGCUAUAUAAGGGAGCUUGACACAACGAACAAGACACACAAUCAAUCAUACAAAACAACUGCAAAUCUUCGAGCAUCCUCGAAACCCUAAGUUCUAAAUGCACCUCGCCUUAGAUCUCAGAGCCCGUCUGGACUCGCCUCUCUUUCCCAAUUGUUGCUUUGCUCGCUUCGAACAGUGAGUAUCGAUUCACAGGUGACUAGAUAGUUUGCUCGUAAUUCCUCGCCCGCGAGGUGACACUGGAGCUCUACUUCGCCUGAUUAGAAGUCAAGAACGCGCACCAUUCUCGUUCCGCGUCCGCGCGGUGGCAUGCCCUGCAAACCCUAAUUUACUUUUGGUAGCACAAGUUACCUUUCUACCCCUGCUGAGGAUCGUGGCCAAAACACAUACAACAACAACAACCAAGAACAUCUGGCAAGUGGUGGCGGCAAUAUAAAGUAAAUAAAAAUAAAAUAGGGGCAAAACCGUAAAAACACACGGUCUCUAGGGCAGUAUAUAGUAAAUACUGCUCAAGUGCUCAGCUUUUGAACCCAAUUAUUUUAACAAUUCAUUUUUUUUUUAAUAUUUUUUUUUUAUGCUGUUCGUGUUCGUCGGAGGAUGAGGAUCCACUACUCACUUUCAAGUAAAUGAAAUAGCAUUCUACCUAGCUAGCUAGGUUUGUUGUCAUCUGUUGUUCGCUCUGAUGAUAAGUCUAUCUUUUAUGUUUAAAACAGUCGCAAGAUAAGUACUUUAAUGGAAGCCUUUUUAUAUAUGAUCUCAGGAAGAAGAUAGGUAUUGAUGAUUUCAUGCAUACAUACUCAUUCGAAGAGAAAACACUGCCUUAAGAACUAGUGGAUAUCUGGAUAUAUAGAGUAGAGAGGCACCCUUGUGAAUCUUCGCGAUCGUUAGACAAUAAAUAUGAUGAGGAUUUACAAAAAAAACAUCUUUAAAUAGCUCAUUUCCCUUUCAUAUAGUGGUAUAGUCUUUUCUUCAUAAAUAUGAAAUGAGGUGAUACAAACUUGACGUGAUUAUCUUAAAAAUCAAUUUAACUCUCAAAUAUUAUAUUUAGUUCUGUGUAAUACAUCAAAUAUAUCAUGAGAAAUUGUUAGGUAAUUUAUAAUUGGAGCAAAUUUAUUUAAAGUCACCAAGUUUUUGCAUAUAUAGGUUUGUUCUUUUUAAACAAAUUAAUUAGGAUCAAUGUCCACUAACCAUUUUUUUGAGACAUCAAAUGUUCUUUAGGGCUCCAAAAGAGCUAGAAUUAAAGCCCAACCUGUCUAUCUCGUUGACCCAAUCCCAUUUUGCUGACAUUGUUCAUCUUUGACAACGAACAUUUCGUUCUCUCUCUAGAGACUUCAUGGAAAUAUUAGGGAGGAGGUGUGGAUAGCAUCUUGUUUAUUAGUAAAAGUAAGAUAAAUGUCUAAUUAAGUAAGGAGGUUCAAGUGUCAAACUACCAAUUUUGACGAAAUGAAUGAAAACUUCAUAAAUUAAAUGAGAAAAUAAAAUUACUGAUAAAGAUUAAAGAGAUAUUAAAUGAGAAAUUUGCUGUAAACAUAUAUAACUACUUCGGAUCAUAUCAAUCAUAACAAGGCAACAAUGUAUCAAGAUGGUGCAAUCGUACUAAUCCAUACUUUAGUUCUUGAUUCAUAUUUCAUGCUAGUUUCAUUCUAAAAAUAACGUAUUUAUGAUUAUUUAGAAAUUUCUAGAUUAGUUAUCUUCAUUAUCUCAACAAAAUGAAUAAGUCACGGUGUAUGCUGCAUAUGACAUUAUAUAUGAGUUGAUCAUAAAAACAAUACAUGCAACACAUUAUUUCCUUGAUCAUGUUAAUGCAAAUACACAUGAUAAAGAUGCAUAUGUACAAUAUACAAUGAUAGGUUCCGUUACUUAGUUGGUUAAGAUGUUUAAUUAACAACUUUGAUGUCAUGAGUUUAAAACCCACUAACAUAUGUAUGGGGUAUGAGUUAUUAACAAAAAUUAAAAAAAGAAAAUCAAGGUUCCCGUCCAGCCCUCCUCAGCUCUCUUCACAUAAAAAUAAAUAGUAAAUACAUAUAGUUGGAACAAUAAAUUAAAGCAACGAGAUCUUUGCCCAAAUGACAAGUUGAUUCACUUUCAGGCCUUCAAAACUUGAGAAUGGCAACUCUAGGUUUCAUUAUUAUUAGAAUUAAAUUCAGUUUACCCCCUUGUGGUUUGGGGGUGACUUCAUGUUAGUCCCUACACUUUUAUUUUCAUCAGUUUACCCCUUGAACUCUUCAAUUUCUGUCUGCCGUGUCCAAAUUCUCAUAUUCCGUUUGAAUUGACUUUUAAUUAUCAACAGUUAAGGUCCGAUUUGGACAUAUAAGGUCUGAUUUGCCUAAAUUCUAGAUAAUGACCUCACAGUUAAGGUUAAAAUUAUCAGCAGUUAACGUCCGAUUUAGACAGAAUAUAGGACAUUUGGUCACGCUUAAGGAAAGUUCUAAAGUUUGAGGGGUAAACUGAUGAAAUUGAAAGUAUAAGGAUUAACAUGAAGUUACUCUCAAACCUCAUGGGGUAAACUGAAUUUAAUUCUUAUUAUUAAUUUUGAAUGAGAAAUUAAGUCCAAUACAUCUCUUUAUUGUUUGUUACUUUAUUUUGGAACCUAAGCCCAUUUGUUGGUUGACAUUCUACUUUCUAUCUGAUGAAAACACUGGGAUGCUUUGCUCAUUCCUAAAGAAGUUGCCAGGAUCAACCAAGGUCUUAACAUGAACAAGUUUCCUGAAGUUGUUCUUGAAGUACUUCAAACCCCAGAUGCUUGCUUGUGCAUAGCUUGUAUUGCCAUUAUUGUUCCUCCCCA
rnacentral:lncRNA from 1 species